UUCAGAGGAAAGGACAUCUCCUCCCUCUAAAAACUCAUCUCCUCGUUUCCUUUCUCCUCCCAUGAUUUCCUCACGUCUCCCCGAUGCUUCUUCUGUGGGACGGACUAAGACACAAGCAAGGCAAGCAAGUGAAGGAAACGUGGAUGCAAUUUAAGAACCUGGGAUGUACCCAUUGUCCAAAAAUUCAGUAGUCGGUGCCAAUACCAGUAAAAUAACACGAUUCUCGAUGCCGAUUUCGAUACCACGGUGGUGGUGAUGGCGCAG